GCAGGUUUUGCUUGAAGCUAAAAGUGGAAAGUUGCACUGGCCUAAAAAACCAAGGAGGAGUUUCCCUCAUGUUGUCACUAAUUGAGCAAUGGAAAAGUUUAUCAGAUAAGGGAGUAUCGACCAAGAUUUUGAAAGUGCACAGAGAUGGGGUUGUGAAUCAGAAUCCAUCUAAAGAAGCAAGCAACCCAAGUUUUUUAUACCUGUACUUGCCAAAAUUAAUUGGCACUAUGUAUUGUUUUUUUAUGGACAUAUUCUUUGUAUGCAGUGAAGACUUUAUUGACUGUUUUAUUUUAGAUUGAAA